rnacentral:rRNA from 1 species
AUUGAACGCUGGCGGCAUGCCUUACACAUGCAAGUCGAACGGCAGCGCGGGCUUCGGCCUGGCGGCGAGUGGCGAACGGGUGAGUAAUGCAUCGGAACGUGCCCAGUAGUGGGGGAUAGCCCAGCGAAAGCCGGAUUAAUACCGCAUACGACCUGAGGGUGAAAGCGGGGGACCGAAAGGCCUCGCGCUAUUGGAGCGGCCGAUGUCGGAUUAGCUAGUUGGUGGGGUAGAGGCUUACCAAGGCGACGAUCCGUAGCUGGUCUGAGAGGACGACCAGCCACACUGGGACUGAGACACGGCCCAGACUCCUACGGGAGGCAGCAGUGGGGAAUUUUGGACAAUGGGGGCAACCCUGAUCCAGCCAUGCCGCGUGCGGGAAGAAGGCCUUCGGGUUGUAAACCGCUUUUGUUCGGGAAGAAAUCCUCUGGGCUAAUACCCCGGGGGGAUGACGGUACCGGAAGAAUAAGCACCGGCUAACUACGUG